CCUACGGGAGGCAGCAGUGGGGAAUCUUGGACAAUGGGCGCAAGCCUGAUCCAGCCAUGCCGCGUGAGUGAUGAAGGCCUUAGGGUCGUAAAGCUCUUUCGCCAGAGAUGAUAAUGACAGUAUCUGGUAAAGAAACCCCGGCUAACUCCGUGCCAGCAGCCGCGGUAAUACGGAGGGGGUUAGCGUUGUUCGGAAUUACUGGGCGUAAAGCGUACGUAGGCGGAUUAGUCAGUCAGAGGUGAAAUCCCAGGGCUCAACCCUGGAACUGCCUUUGAUACUGCUAGUCUUGAGUUCGAGAGAGGUGAGUGGAAUUCCAAGUGUAGAGGUGAAAUUCGUAGAUAUUUGGAGGAACACCAGUGGCGAAGGCGGCUCACUGGCUCGAUACUGACGCUGAGGUACGAAAGUGUGGGGAGCAAACAGGAUUAGAUACCCUGGUAGUCCACACCGUAAACGAUGAAUGCCAGUCGUCGGGCAGUAUACUGUUCGGUGACACACCUAACGGAUUAAGCAUUCCGCCUGGGGAGUACGGUCGCAAGAUUAAAACUCAAAGGAAUUGACGG
rnacentral:rRNA from 1 species